GAUGAAGAACGUAGCGAAAUGCGAUAAGUAAUGUGAAUUGCAGAAUUCAGUGAAUCAUCGAAUCUUUGAACGCACCUUGCGCCCUUUGGACUUCUGAAGGGCAUGCCUGUUUGAGUAUCAUGAACACCUCAACUCCUUAUGGUCUUCCAUGAUGAGCUUGGACUUUGGGGGUUUUGCUGGCCUACAGUCAGCUCCUCUAAAAUAAAUCAGCUUACCGGUGUUUGGUGGGUAUCAUGGGUGUGAUAACUAUCUACGCUCGUGGUUUUCCACCAGGUAACCUUCAGCAGUGGAGGUUCACUGGAGCUCAUAGAUGUCUCUCCUCAGCGAGGACAGCCCUUUGAAUGUUUGAUCUCAAAUCAGGUAGGACUACCCGCUGAACUUAAGCAUAUCAAUAAGCGGCGGA
rnacentral:misc_RNA from 1 species